GUUUGGUGAGGACAGGGACAGAAGUCCAGCCAGGGGCCCUGAACCCAUCAGCCACAGCAUCCACCCCAGCUUUAGCCCCUGCCAUCUGGCUUCCUGCCAUUCCCCCCAUCCUUUAGUCUGGUCUGACUGAACAGGUUUUUGGAAGAGGCCAAGGUCACCCUGGGGCCGACCUCCACAGAUGGAUUCAGCCUGAGACUACAGCUGCGGUCCAGCUCAACCAUGAAUGCCCAGGGCCAAUACAUACUCCUUCAUCGUGGUGGAUCAUCGUUAAGCCAAAUGAGGUCUGGGACUCAACCAGGCACUCUUGCCUUCAAGAGACCAUCAUCACUUCUCUGAGGUUAAGGUUCAAGGAAGAUGAGCUCCACAUGGGAACCUGGGCACAUACUGGUGAGAACACAUGACUGGGAAACAUCGCAGGGACUCAGUCAAGAAAUGUCAGCAAGUACUGGUCCCCACAGUUCCUUGGGCCAAGGCUUAGCACUCUCAGGAGAAAGCCAAGAUGUAAAGGAGCACUGGUUCUCCAGAGGAACCAGGCUGGAACUGUUGGAGGGUUCAAUUCAUUUCGAUCCAGCAAACUUCUACUAAGUGUCUGGAAUGCACCAACCUGACUCUGAAGGUAAACGGAUGUCUAUGGCAGUGUUCCCCCCAAGGUGGAAAAAUGGGCUAGCUAGAGCAGGGCUCGGCAACCUACAGCCCCCAGGUCAAAUGUGACCCACUGCCUGGUUUUGUAUAGCCUACAAGCUAAGAAUGGUUCUCACUUUUACACCUGUGGUUUUUUUUUUUUUUAAUCA
rnacentral:lncRNA from 12 species